AAGACUAUACUUUCAGGGAUCAUUUCUAUAGUUUUUAACUAGGAAAUGUGUUUCGAAAGUGUUGGGUCUCCCAAACUACGAUGAAGAGUAUCGAAACUCCUUUCUGAGCGUGAAUCGGAUGCAAAGUAAUGAUUAAAUUCAUACGCUUUGUGUUAUUGAUGAACGUUCAACGUUGCUUACCGCGACGUGGAGGAAAGGGGUUUGAUCAGAGUAGC